AAAAACAUCGCCUCUUGCAAAAUUAACGAAUAAGAGGUCCUGCCUGCCCUGUGACCAUGUGUUCAACGGCCGCGGUAUUUUGACCGUGCAAAGGUAGCGUAAUCACUUGUCUUUUAAAUGAAGACCCGUAUGAAUGGCAAGACGAGGGCUUAGCUGUCUCCUUUUUCAAGUCAAUGAAAUUGAUCUUCCCGUGCAGAAGCGGGAAUUACUACAUAAGACGAGAAGACCCUAUGGAGCUUUAGACACCAAGACAGCCCGCGUCAAAACUCCCUAAUGAAGGACUGAACUAAGUGGACCCUGUCCUAAUGUCUUUGGUUGGGGCGACCACGGGGAAAUACAAAACCCCCGCGUGGACUGGGAGCACCCCUACUCCUACAACUAAGAGCAUCCGCUCUAAUAAACAGAAUUUCUGACCAGCAAGAUCCGGCAACGCCGAUCAACGAACCCAGUUACCCUAGGGAUAACAGCGCAAUCCUCUUUUAGAGCCCAUAUCGACAAGAGGGUUUACGACCUCGAUGUUGGAUCAGGACAUCCUAAUGGUGCAGCCGCUAUUAAGGGUUCGUUUGUUCAACGAUUAAAGUCCUACGUGAUCU
rnacentral:rRNA from 1 species